GAAAAUAGAUGGCUGGUGGUUGGUUGGUUCUGGGGUAAUCAAGGGAGAAGGCCACCGUUGGUGGCUGGUGGCUGGUGUGGUUUAGGAAUGUUUUUUUUUUUCUUUUCAUUUUCUUAAUAAAUAAUAAUAAUAAUGAUAAUAUUAUUAUUAUUUAUUAUUAUUUCGAUUUAUUAUUUAUUGAUUGUAAAGUGGUUAGAUUAGUUAACUGUGUUAGUAAGGUUUUAACAAGGAUUUUAUUUAACUUUUUUAAAAAAAAAUUAAAACAAAUGUCACCCAUAACGUUUUGACAAGUGGCACAUUAAUUUGACUUAACGGAAGACACUAACGUCAACUUAACGGCAGGGUCACAACGUAGAAACGUUUGAUAAUUUAGGGGUUACAGCGUAGAAAAUCAAAAAAGGCAUGUCACAACGUAGAAAAAGCGAAAAAAUAGGGUCAUAAUGUAGAAAAACCCAAAAAAAAAAAACUUAUUUUUACAUAAAAACAAGAUUUGUAUCAAAAUUACGACUUUUACUUUGUACAAAAUCUAAAAUAAACUUCUUUAAAUAUUAAAUUGGCAAAUUGCGUAUUAUAACUGUAAGAUAUUUAAUUAUUUUCGUUCACAUAAAUUUCACACUUUUUAAUACGUAGUCUAUUUAUUAUAUUUUAUAUCAAUUUAUUUUGGCGAAUUCCUCGUUUCUCAUAAUGAUUAACCAGUUUUCGUUUCUCAUAGGGGCAAUCUCAUCAUUUUACCCAGUUUUACACAUUACAUGGAUUCUGACGUGUAAUACUUCAUGGCCACCUGUAACACUUGGGUUAAACAAAUUAUUUGACGGAGUUAAAUUCCACUUUUAUGGAAUUACUCUCCUUUUGUCUGAAUAUUGGUAGAAGAGGGAAUUUAAAAAAGGAAUUAAAACAAAAGAAUUUAGGUUUGAACUGAGCUGCUGUUCGAGUUGGAAUUGCUGACUGUUCGAGUUGCCGGCUGGUUGUUCGACGACGACGGUGGAAUCCACGACUGUGACGAAGGAAAUUCCUUUUUUUGAACAAGUGACGAAGGUUGGCUCACAGGCUGGUUAUAUGUUAGAUUAUUAAUGGUCUGUGGUUUUGUUAUGAUGUUGUUCUAUGGGAUUGCAUGAAGCAUCCAACGCAAAGGAGAAAACUAUAACCUUGUACCCUGGUAUAUUUAAGGAUGAUAGUUUAAGUUAUGGGGAGUUGUCAAAGCUAGAUCAGAGGUCUGGAAGGAGCAUUCGAAGGGUAGCAUAAGGCCUCCAAACAUGAGUUGCCGGAUUACGUCAUUUGGGCGGAUUUUUCAGAAAUUUGAUGAUAGGAGGAAACGUUGGGUGUAUGAGAUGUGUUUUGGUGGUCUAUUACAUCUUUCAGUUGAUAUGCAAUUAUCAAGGAAGUUGGCGUAUUAGGUGAUGACUCGUAUAGAUCCGAUUAGUAAAAUGUUCAUAACCCCAGAUGGUGGUGAGUUUAGGUUUCCUAAGAAACAAGUACAUUGGGUUUUAGGGAUUCCAAUGGGUUCAAAGAGUGUUCCUUCCACUAAAACCAUGAGUCAUGAGGAUCGUGAAAAGGUUCAGAGAAAUUUGUUGAAGUAUGGGAAGUCAUGGGAGUCCACUAGACAAUGUGGUCGUGUGUACACGUAGGUGGGGAUACCAUUGAAUUCUGAAAUGAUGGAUUGCUUAGAGGGUCACUUUGAUCCUAAACAGGAAGAAGAAUUCAAGACGCUUUUUUUGAUUGCUCUGGAGAUAUUGUUGUGCCCUACACAGUCACCCCGGCUUGCGGCUGAUCUGUUACCUGCCAUAAGCUGUGCUAUGGAGGCAGUUGAAUAUGUUCUUUAGUGUUGUCUAAAUUCAUGGGGAGUGUUUCUAGAUUUGCCCGACGGUUUAAUGCUCAUGGGUUUGUGAGUGGAUAUGGUGGGUGUGCUAUAUUUGCGUUGUACGUCAAUUACAAUUUACUUUUUGAAUAUUCAUUUCAAUAUCAUUUGAUUUAACUCAUUUGCUCUUAAUGUUUGGUACACAACCUUUUUUAUUUUUUUUUUGGUAAUUUAUGCAGAUUUUUUACUUGGACCGUUUGGCUAGGGAUCCUGUUGAAUGGGAGGUUUUCCCUAGACUUAAGGUAUGAAAUAUGCAGGAGAUUAGAACGGCAUCGAAGUCGGAGAAAUUAUUGACUGGGGACUAUGGGAGGUUAGGGGUAUUGGACGUUGCUUAUGGUAAACAUCACCCAAUGGAGGCACGGGACAGUGUUGCACCCAAGGAUGACUUCAAUGUAAGUGUUACAAAUGCAACCUAUUGUGAUUGUUGUGAGACUUGUGAUGAUUUCCAUGGUAGCAUUAUGUUAUUCUCUUGUUGCAAAGAUGGUAGCAGGGGCUGGUUUCUCCAAGUCCAAGGUUAGGGAAAGGAGGGGGCGGACCUUGAAGUCAAAACAAAAUUGACCCAAUUAGUGUUAGGAUUUGAGUAAUACCUAAACACUUUAGUUGUAUUAUCAUUGAAUUAUGUGAUAUUUAACUAUUAAGUGUUGUAUAAUUCUUGAAAACCAUUUUUCUUGUAAUGAUUAUCUUCUGAUAAGUUA